GACGAACGCUGGCGGCGUGCCUAAUACAUGCAAGUAGAACGCUGAAGGAGGAGCUUGCUUCUCUGGAUGAGUUGCGAACGGGUGAGUAACGCGUAGGUAACCUGCCUGGUAGCGGGGGAUAACUAUUGGAAACGAUAGCUAAUACCGCAUAAGAGUAGAUGUUGCAUGACAUUUGCUUAAAAGUUGCAAUUGCAUCACUACCAGAUGGACCUGCGUUGUAUUAGCUAGUUGGUGGGGUAACGGCUUACCAAGGCGACGAUACAUAGCCGACCUGAGAGGGUGGACGGCCCAAAUGGGAACGGGACACGGCCCAGACUCCUACGGGAGGCAGCAGUAGGGAAUCUUCGGAAAUGGACGGAAGUCUGACCGAGCAACGCCGCGUGAGUGAAGGAGGUUUUCGGAUCGUAAAGCUCUGUUGUAAGAGAAGAACGAGUGUGAGAGUGGAAAGUUCACACUGUGACGGUAUCUUAACAGAAAGGGACGGCUAACUACGUG
rnacentral:rRNA from 1 species